rnacentral:rRNA from 2 species
AAGUGGCGCACGGGUGAGUAAUGUAUAGGUAAUAUGCCUCUUACUAAGGGAUAACAAUUGGAAACGAUUGCUAAUACCUUAUAUUCCUUUUUAUCAAAAGAUAAAAAGGGAAAGAUUUAUUGGUAAGAGAUUAGCCUGUAUUGUAUCAGUUAGUUGGUGGGGUAAUGGCCUACCAAGACGAUGACGCAUAACUGGUUUGAGAGGAUGAUCAGUCACACUGGAACUGAGACACGGUCCAGACUCCUACGGGAGGCAGCAGUGGGGAAUAUUGCACAAUGGACGAAAGUCUGAUGCAGCAACGCCGCGUGGAGGAUGACACAUUUCGGUGCGUAAACUCCUUUUAUAUAAGAAGAUAAUGACGGUAUUAUAUGAAUAAGCACCGGCUAACUCCGUGCCAGCAGCCGCGGUAAUACGGAGGGUGCAAGCGUUACUCGGAAUCACUGGGCGUAAAGAGCGUGUAGGCGGAUUGAUAAGUUUGAAGUGAAAUCCUAUAGCUUAACUAUAGAACUGCUUUGAAAACUGUUAAUCUAGAAUGUGGGAGAGGUAGAUGGAAUUUCUGGUGUAGGGGUAAAAUCCGUAGAGAUCAGAAGGAAUACCGAUUGCGAAGGCGAUCUACUGGAACAAUAUUGACGCUGAGACGCGAAAGCGUGGGGAGCAAACAGGAUUAGAUACCCUGGUAGUCCACGCCCUAAACGAUGUACACUAGUUGUUGUGAGGCUCGACCUUGCAGUAAUGCAGUUAACACAUUAAGUGUACCGCCUGGGGAGUACGGUCGCAAGAUUAAAACUCAAAGGAAUAGACGGGGACCCGCACAAGCGGUGGAGCAUGUGGUUUAAUUCGACGAUACACGAAGAACCUUACCUGGACUUGACAUAGUAAGAAUGAUUUAGAGAUAGAUUAGUGUCUGCUGCAGAAACU